UACGUAGGGUGCAAGCGUUGUCCGGAUUUAUUGGGCGUAAAGAGCUCGUAGGCGGUUUGUCGCGUCUGCUGUGAAAACUCGGGGCUUAACUCCGGGCCUGCAGUGGGUACGGGCAGACUAGAGUGCGGUAGGGGAGACUGGAAUUCCUGGUGUAGCGGUGAAAUGCGCAGAUAUCAGGAGGAACACCGGUGGCGAAGGCGGGUCUCUGGGCCGUAACUGACGCUGAGGAGCGAAAGCGUGGGGAGCGAACAGG
rnacentral:rRNA from 1 species